AUUCCAGCUCCAAUAGCGUAUAUUAAAGUUGUUGCAGUUAAAAAGCUCGUAGUUGGAUUUCUGGCAGGAGUGACUGACCACAAACUCUGUUUGUGAGUUGUGUCAUUCUGGCCAUCCUUGGUAAGAUCCUUUUUGGCAUUAAGUUGUCGGGAAGGGGAUGACCAUCGUUUACUGUGAAAAAAUUAGAGUGUUUAAAGCAGGCUUAUGCCGUUGAAUAUAUUAGCAUGGAAUAAUAAGAUAGGACUUUGAGUCUAUUUUGUUGGUUUGCACACCAAGGUAAUGAUUAAGAGGGACAGUUGGGGGUAUUCGUAUUAUCAUGUCAGAGGUGAAAUUCUUGGAUUUUGGUAAGACGAACUACUGCGAAAGCAUUUACCAAGGAUGUUUUCAUCG
rnacentral:rRNA from 1 species